GAAGUGAGGCGCGGGGGCGGGCUAAAGCGGUGAUUGGCCCGCAGUGCAUCGCGUCAUAGCCGUCACUCGGGAUUGGUUCUUUGCUAAUAAAUCACUUCUGCGCAGAUGUAGGUCAGAGCUCAGGAUUCGUGCCGAUAACUAUAGUAAGCUAAACAACAGAUAGAAUAUUGGAAGCGGCCGUUACUUGGUGAUGUGAAAAAAAAAUAUUCGGCUAUAUUCGUUAUGGACGCUUCUUUAUAUUUUCGACUGGAAUAAUACUACUUAUUAUAAACAUAACUUAUGUCGCAGCAAACUGAACAUCCUUGGCAGUCGUUACGGGUAGUCAGAAGCCAGUAAGUCUGACACCAGUCGAACCAAGGGGUAUUGGGUUGCCCGGGUAACUGGGUUGAGGAGGUCAGAUAGGGCAGUGGCUUCUUGUAAAGCACUGGUACUCAGCUGAAUCCGGUUAGACUGGAAGCCGACCCCAACAUAGUUGGGAAAAGGCUCGGAGGAUGAGGAUGAUGAUGUCGCAGUAAACUGGUUAUAAUAAUUAAACAAGUCGGCCGAACUACUUUUAGACGUUUCAUUGAAAGGCGUUAUUCAUUCAAAGGGCUGCGAUAUUUAUAUUAUUAUUUUUUAAAUGCAAGCCUGCCUGAUCUAGUUUUUUUUUUUUAUAUCGCCAAGUUAACAACAAAUCCUUUGAGAUUACUAAGUAGCUAACGAAAAUAGUCUGAAUAUAUAAGUUAUAUAUAAUAAUGUAUAUUAGCAUUAAUAUAGUAUAUGCUAAGAAAACUUAAGGUACCUUUUGAAUGCUAGCUGUCGACCGCACAUGCCGACUGCAUGAGUCGGCCGCAGCUGCACUACUGGUUUGAAUGUAUUUACAUGACACCGUUUUGUAUCAAAGCGGCAGCAAGACGUGCCUGCGUCGCUGUCAGCUAUCUGACAUUUUUUUUAAAUGGAAAAUCAUGAAAUUACAGCUUCCGCUAUGAGUUAGCAGUGUGAAGGAGUGUCAGACUCCUACUGACUAAAACCCAUCAUGUUCCUUCGCAGGCCUUUUAUGUACCAGGACCGCGGUAACACGCGCAGCCAAUCCCGCAGCCCUUAGCUCUGGUGGGCCCGCUGAGAUAUCUGACAUCUAAAUUCUAACAUUAAUAUCAAAGGGUGAAAAUUCAAGUAUUUACAUACAAACCAAUAGUGCUGCUGCGGCCGACCGCACAUGCAGUCGCGGCAUGUGCGGUCGACAGCUAGUAUUCAAAAGGUACCUUAAGCAAAUAAACCUAACUUAUGAAUUAAAUAUAAUGUUCAACUUAUAUAAAAUAAAUAAAAUAAGUAAUUUAAACUCUAGUAUUACACGGUAUCACAAUAUUUUUUAUUUAACAUUUGAAAUUACAAUUUGAUCUCAAUUUUGUAUUUUAUAUUUUACACUGCCUUAAUAAUAUGGAAUCUCGAUUUCAGUAUUUUUUUUAUAACACAUAUUUAGUUUUUGUUUAUAAAAGUAGGUUAAGGUUGUAACAGAUACACUUAAUUCAAGUUUUAAAAUCUAUUCUUAUAUUUUUGACCUAGGCUUCCAGUCUGUCUUUUAGUUUUUUUUUUUUUUUAUGGAGAAACUUCUAUCUGAUACCUAUAAUCAUCGGUACGAAUCUUGAGCGCUGACCUUCAUCUGCGCAGCAGUAAUUUAUUGGGUCCCUUUGGUGGUAUGAAUUGAGUCGCGGGGGCGGGCUAAAGCGGUGAUUGGCCCGCAGUGCAUCGCGUCAUAGCCGUCACUCGGGAUUGGUUCUUUGCUUAUAAAUAAAUCACAUAUGCGCAGGUGAAGGUUAGCGCUCAAAUUCCUGCCGAUGGUUCUCCAUGUAGGUAUCCUCAAAUUAACCGCUCCGAACUUAGGGUGCAUCUACACGGUGCAUGUAGCUGGAGCAAGCUAACAUGCGCAAGUGACAAGAGCACGCGGGUGGGUAUGUUGCUUUGGUACAUGCGCGAGUCGCUGGACGCGCACGUUUUUAAAAUGCAUGUAACCCGCGCAUGUGCCUCAACAUGCGCAAGCUACUUGCACCGUGUAGAUGCACACUUAUUUAAUGCAAAAUUGUACAUACUUCUCGCUACUAAUAUCACAAAAAAACAGCUUUAUAUUUGCGAAAUUUUAUUUUGUAUGUUUUUAUUUUUAUUCUUAUUGAAUAUCACAAAAUAAUGAUUAAUAAAAUAACUGAAUAAAAAUAUAUUUAUUGUAUGUAGUAGAUUAGUUAAGUGUAGGCUUAAGUAAACGCAUAAUAAUGAUCACAGUUUACUAAAUAAGUAUUAUUUAUUAAGUUUUAUAAAUACAUUAUGGACACU